GAUGAAGAACGUAGCGAAAUGCGAUACUUGGUGUGAAUUGCAGAAUCCCGUGAACCAUCGAGUCUUUGAACGCAAGUUGCGCCCGAAGCCAUUAGGCCGAGGGCACGCCUGCCUGGGCGUCACACGUCGUUGCCCCCCCCAUCUACUCCUUCGGGAUUGCGGGGGGCGGAUGAUGGCCUCCCGUGCGCCUCGCCGCGCGGUUGGCAUAAAUGCCAAGUCCUCGGCGACGCACGCCACGACAAUCGGUGGUUGCGAAACCUCGGUUGCCCGUCGUGUGCGGUCGUCGCGCAUCGAGGGCUCGAAAAAAUUGCCGGGUUUCAGCUCGGCUUUCAACGCGACCCCAGGUCAGGCGGGGUUACCCGCUGAAUUUAAGCAUAUCAAUAAGCGGAGA
rnacentral:misc_RNA from 1 species